CCGUUUCGAUCUGCUGCGGGCAAAUGAAGUGGAUGUGGGUGUCGAUGCCGCCGGCCGUGAGGAUGUGCCCCUCACCGGCAAUGGCUUCGGUUCCAGGUCCGAUGGGGAUGGUCACCCCAUCGCUGAUGUCGGGAUUGCCCGCUUUGCCGAUGGCGCAGAUGCGGCCGUCUUUGAGGCCCACAUCGGCUUUGACGAUGCCCCACCAAUCCAGGAUCAGGGCGUUGGUAAUCACCGUGUCGACGGCACCCGCAGCGCGGCUGGUCUGGCCUUGGCCCAUGCCAUCACGG
rfam:Synechococcus sp. RCC307 genomic DNA sequence.